AGGAAAAUAAAUUAAGAGCCGCUAACUCUUUUUAAAGCCCACCCGGCUUGUUUCCUA
rnacentral:tRNA from 1 species